GUGGGUAUGAGUGGGUUAAGUAGGACCUUUUGAUAAAGUUACUUCAGUUAAGGUGUGGCCCAACUGAAUCAGGAUGGGUCUUAAUCCCAAUAUGGAGUCCUUUGUAAGCAGAAUGAAAUUCAGACUCGGAAAGAGAAGCCAGAAGCUGGAAGUCAAUGGAACUGAGUGCCAGGAGAGACAUCAGCUGCCAGCUAGAGUGCCACAGUUUUGACUUCGGACUUCUCCUGGCUGCAAAACUAUCCACCUACUAUGUGUCAAUCAAAAAACAAAGACAGAGGCUAUAACAGUCAAGAAGAAAUGAAACUUGAUCCCAAGAAGCCUGCCAAACACUAGCAAAUAUGUGCAAGAAAAUGAAUUCUUUCAUAGACCAUUCCAAAAUAUUUUGAUAGCAGCUGCAAAUGGUUGAUGAGACUCAUGGAAAUCUGCCAUUCUGUCACACAUUUUGAUAUAAAAUAAAUUAUAAUGGUUAAAUGCAA